GGUCAGUGGUCACCUUUCGUCCCCCUCCAUCAGGCCUCGGGGGGUUGCGAUAAGCCUGGCGCCGUGGGACCGACUCUUUGUGAAACAAGGCAACCCCCUGUGGUAAAUUACAGCAUUGGAUCCCGCCCCAGCCUCCCCGUGAGCCUGCGUCUCCUCAGCAUCCUGGGAGAGAAGCACGUACCCCCCCGGGAGCACCCUAUCCCUCCUACAUCAGUUGCAACCGAAUUUGUUUUAUUGUUUAAUUCUGACUUUUUUAAGCCUCCUGGGUCACUCCUAAGGCUUCUCUUCUCUCAUGGGAAAGGUCCCACCUCCACACACGACGCGCUUGGUUCAAAUCAUACACAGCACGGAGAGGAUUGCUUAGUCUCACGACGUUUAACUGACCCCGAGAUCAAGACGUACAGGUGGUGCGCAGAUUUGCACAAACAUUUCAAAGCUUUCCAAGAAGCUGGAGCGCAAAUUGAGGCGUGUGCCGCACUCACAUUCUUUACACGCAGGUGUCACCCUUGGUCACUUCCCCUCUGCUGCGGUGGACAUACCGCUCAUACGCUGGGAGAGCCAAAGGGGACCAUCCGGAGCUUGGCCGACUCUCCCUUUCACAGCAACGUCCGGGACGAGACCCCGGAGCGGUCUGGCGUCCUCUCAAGAGCGCCAGGCUUCCCAAAUCCACCCCCCACAGAGCGCCCUGACGCCAUACGACACCCGAGUCUGGAUUACAGUCUCCAUUUUCAGCACUGGGCCUCAAAGUGCUCCCCCCUCUCCGGCAUCGCGGCCCCCGGGCUUUGAUCCCAUCCAGCACCGGUGCAGUAGGCCCAGAGUGGUGCUGACAGCUGGCCGACCAUAACGUCACUGCACUCGCCUUCUGCAACAUGUCCAGUGUUGUCACAGAAUCUCCACGGAAA
rnacentral:lncRNA from 1 species